GUCGCGACGCAAGCUCCACCUUCCGCAUCGACGGCCUCCCCUCUCCUCCCUCCACCAGCCUCAAUAGCAACGCAUCCCCUCCAAAACCCCUAUAAACCCUAACGCCCCCAAGAUCCCCGAACCCCUCUCCGCCCUCGCUCGCAAACGCCUCAACCUCGACAAUGAGAUCCUAAACCUAAUCGGGGUCAACGAUCUCGAUGAGGCCUCGCUUUUGGUCCGUCGCUCGAUCUAUUCCAACUGCAAGCCGACGAUCUUCACCUGCAACGCCAUUCUCCACACGCUCCUCAGGCAAUCCCGAUACUCUGACUUGCUUUCCCUCCACCGGUUCAUCACCUAGGUGUCGGUGGCCCCCACCGUGAUCACCCACAACCUCCUACUUCAAGUUUACUACGAUUGCCGCAAGCCUGAUACGGCCCUCGAGCACUAUCGUCUCCUCAUCAAAGACGAUGCCCCCAUCAACCCCUCGCUGACGACGUAUAGGAUUCUCACCAAAGGGCUGGUUGAUAAUGCUAAGAUCGAUCGGGCCGUGGAGCUCAAGGACGAGAUGAUUGCCAAGGGCUUCUGUGGGCCUGACGUUGCCGUCUAUAACCACAUAAUGUCGGGCUUUGUCAAGAAGAAGGAGCCCGAUAGGGUUAUUGAGCUGUUUGAAGAGAUGAAAGAGAAGAUGGGAGGAGGGCAGAUCGAGGAUGGGAUUGUGUAUGGGAAUCUGAUGAAAGGGCAUUUCAAGAAGGGGAUGGAGGCUGAGGCAAUGGGCUCUUUCGUCCGCAUACAUGCCAGUUGGUGCAAUCCUUGCUAGCACUGAGAUUUCAGAAGUGAUACACUCUCAAAGCAACAAAAUUGAUUCGAGGGACUGAAUUGAUUCUUGGAACAUAGUUCACCGAUAACAAGUCUCCUAAUGAUCUUUUCCCAUCUGAAUGGGGUUUCAGAAGAAUUUUUGGCUAACUCAGGUACGUAUUUCAUAAAUUUAUGAAUAAUCAGGUUAUUAUAGGUCUUGCUUAUUUUUUCUCAGAAAACAGGUUUCGUGUGAUUAUUUUUCAUCUCAAACAGGUAUAUCUCAGGUCAAAUCAGGUACGUAGUUCAUGUUACAUUAGGUUUCGUAUGAUUAUGUCUCAAGAGCUUCUAAAAUAGAAGUAUUUCGAAGUAUGUAAAGUGGUAAAUGGAUAACAAAAUACUAGGAGUUCUGGUUUAAUCAACAAGAUCGUAACAAUAAAUUGUUCAUCUUUUAUCAUUAUUUGUUAUUUGUUUUAUUUCCUGCCUCACUAGGUUUCUUAUACAUUUAUACUGAUUCUUUUUAGGAUCUUUGACAUUAUGUCUUAUUAGAUGGAUGAAGGGUGGCGUUGUAUGAUAAUGCACUGAUCUUAUGUUUUAUAUUUCAUUGCUUUCUUCUAUUGGAUUUUUUGUUUCUUAUUUAGAUUUUUUAUCUGGUAUUGAUACAGGAGGAGGACAUGCGUCUAGAGAAUGUAUACUACUCUGAGAUGAAGGAUGCCCUUUUUUUUUAUUCUGAUUAGGAAUAAUAUUGCUUUGUCUCUACUUCUCUUCACAUCUGUAAAUUUACCUUUCUCAUUGCUUUCGCGAACUCUUUUAUUGUAUAAAUCCUUGACGCGUAAAAAUUAGUUAUUGUCUAUAUAAAUAAUUUAUGUUUCGCUCUA